CAGCUAUAUUCCCAAGUGCAAAUAUUGCAAUUGUGGUCCAGCCCUGGUACUCACUUCCACUCUAUCCUCAGUGCACUUGUACAGGCCCAAACAUAAUUCAAUUUUUUAAAAGCAGUGAUCUACUAAAACUUUAAGGAUUAUGUUUGUAGGCAACCUGAUGGGACUUAAUUGAAAUUUGCUGCUUUUUUUGUUUCAAGUUGUGGGGUUUUUGGAGCAGGACAAAUUCCAAAAAUUAGGGGUACUUCAUUAAGAUUUGAAUAAAGAAUAAUUUAAAAGUUUUUUCAUGAGCACUGAAGCUCGGACUAAAAAUAUAACAAACUAGUACAAAUGUUUUAGAAAGUAGACAUUUAGCAUUCAUUUAUAGAGCCAAUGUGUAAUACUGCAACAUAAAGAGUUUAUGUGUACUCAAAAUUCCUUACGGGUAAUUCUUUUAAUGAUUUUUUCCACAGGCUAGGAAUCAAACAAUGCUGCUGCUUCCAGUAUUCAACACUUUUGUCUUGGGAUUAACUCUGGUGAUGACUUCCACCUCAAAUCCUGCUCAGGGUGUCCAAAAACUGGAUCAGGAUGCAUGUAUACUAGUUGUGCGCAGACCUGCUCAGAACGGACUAGCAGGAAGAGAUGGAAAAGAUCGCCCUAAAGGUGAAAAGGGAGAUCAAGGAUUAAGAGGGAUACCAGGUCUUCCAGGAAAGGAUGGAUCCCCUGUACCAAAAGGAGACAGAGGUGCAGAAGGACCAAAGGGAGACUGUGGAGGCAGAGGUAAGCAGUGCCCCCCUUUUGAGGGAAGGUAAAGAAGAAGCCCAACAGGGCAGACAGAGAGACCUUUAUGGAUGUUUGAAUGGUUUUCAUUUCAUAAAUGUUCCAGUAGGGCUUUGCUGCUGAUUUCUGAGCGAGGGAGAAAUAUUCAGAGGAGGGCACUGGGGAAACCAGUCAGUCUGAUUUUCAAGGGAGAGAAGUGAGUGAGCCUCCAGGGUUACCAAAAGUUGCUCUGAUGAACUCAAACAUCCUAUACGAGAGAAACACCACAGUGAUGGGUACCUGAUCCCUGGGUUCAUGGGAUGAAGGAUGUGCUUCUAAUUUUUAAAGAAAUUGAAAAGCUAGCAUUGCUGCAGGUGCUACUGAGAAUUGCACUCAAGAGGUAGUUUUAUUUUCAGUGGACUUCUGGCCCACAGAACCUCAGUUUUAAACUUGUUAUAUCUUCUUGAGGAACCAAGAAAUCAAAAACAGUAUCUUUGGUGUUACACUUGUGAUUCACUACUAGUUCUGGAGGUGACGUUUCUGGCUUUUUUAAG
rnacentral:lncRNA from 1 species